rnacentral:lncRNA from 1 species
UAUAGGUUGUUCCCUUGAACCACUUUAUUUUACUCUCACCAUGAACUUUAUAUUUUAUGUUGAUUCCUUAGUAGUAUAUUUGUCAUACCCUAAUUUCUCACCCUAAGAUCCCAUAUAUUAUUUGCAUCCUUUCAUACAAACAAGACCACAUAUUUGUCCUCUCCCUCUCAUCUUUGAGUUUGCCUUUUGCAGAGAUCAUCAAACACCUAUUUGUUGGUAUUUUACCUUUGUGUUUAUAUGUUUAUUUCUUAUCUAACCACUAACCAAAAGAGCAAAUAUAUGUUUUAUUUUCUUUAAGAUUAUUGUAUAAGGUAGAGUUUUUCAUCAAGAGUAUCAAGCAUGGUUCCUCAGCUAGGUUUUCUUUGAUUCCUCAAGUCAAAGUGUGUUAACCAUUGAUUAUCAAGGGUAUGUCUCUCAAUACGUGAUCUCUAAGGUCCUCAAGCAUGUUUUAAUCUCAUUUUGAUCAAGAGUAUCUCAAUGCUUUGUUGCUUACUUCUCAAGAAAAGUCAAAGGUUCAUGUGUUUAUUUCCAUGCCUUCUUCAAUAAGUUACCUUAAACUUUGAGCAAUUUGAUUAAAAUACAUUCAAGUACACAUUAUUUUGAUUUCAUAUGAUCAUGCAUGUACCUUUAAAUGCAAGGAAAGUCCAAGUGCACAAGUUUAUUCCAAGAGGUUUGACCAAAAAAGUCAACAAUUGAAGUCAAAGUUCAAAGGAUCACAACUCCUUCAAUUCUCAGAAUUUUUGAAUGAUUCUUUUUUUCAUAUUAUUUUUCUCAAUAUACUCUAUAACUUCUCUUUACAUGACAAGGUCCAAUUAUGCAUAGAGGAUCAUCAAAAGUUUGGAGACAUUAUAGGUCAUUUGUGGACUUAGUGAAAUUUGACCUAUUUUCAAGUGACUUUUCUACACUUUCAAGGAUUAUAACUUCUUAGAUUUUCAAUAUUUGAGGCUGAUUAUUUUUUCACAAUAUCAUUUGUGAUGCACUCUACAACUUUUCUUCAAGGAUCAAAGUCAAAUUAUGCUUGGAAGGCCAUGGAUCCUUUGAGACAUUAUAGGUCAUUUUCAGUCAUUUGGGACUUAGAAUUUUCUAAGUUACAUUACCAGAUUUUCGAUCCAAUUUCAACAAGCCAUAACUUUAUGCUCAAGCAUCCAAAUGUAACCUUUCUUGGCAUAUUGUAAUCUUUGAUAUGAUGUCAACAAAUUUCAAGAAGAAUGGGAUCAAAAAGCCUUAUGAGCAAGAUGUCCCAUUGAGUUAAGCAUGGUGACUUGGAACUGAAGAAAUCACCAUGAUCAAAAAUUUGAACUUCACUAAUCUCAAUUACAAGCCAAAUUACCACGUGUUUUGGACCUAAGCAUGUUUGAUCAAGUCUCUGAAAGUUAAUUUACUCAUAAAACACAUGGUUUGGCCGAGUUUUGAUGGUUUACAAGUCACACUUUUCACACAUCAUGAGCAAACUCAUUUUGCAUGAAUUGAGCAUCAUUUGGCAUGUAUGAGAUCACCAAUUGCUUCCCUAUAAAUAGAGCAACAUGAUUGAUUCAUGAUCAGUCAUCAUUUAUAAUAAGUUUUCAUUACUGAUCCGACGCAAAACAGAGACAUUUGAUACACUGUGCAAGCAUUUAAGGUACAAUUCGAGUUAGUUUCAUUUCCGUUAUUUUAUUUAUGCAUUUUUAAUCUUUGUUAUGUUUUACCUUUUAUUAUCGUGAUUUUAUGCGUGGGAUAGCUGUGUUUAUGUCCAAUAGAUCCAGGUAGAAGAACCGGAGAACUCAGAAGAAGACAAUGCGAGAUUCCGACACACAAAGGAGCCAGAAAACUCCGGUAUAGGAGGCCUGACACGGCCACCCAUGUCACCUGACACGGGCCGUGUCAGGGCAAGGGAAGCAAAGGAAGGAAAACAGUAGCCUGACACGGCCACCCGUGUCAGCUGACACGGGCCGUGUCAGGCAGAAACCCCCCGUGUUAGGCUUGCCAUGGGCGUGUCAGGAGAAUCAGUAGGCUGACACGGGCCGUGUCAGCCCAAGCCCAAAAUUUCCAGUUUUCUCGGGCUUUUCAUUCUGUGGGCUUUUUGGAUACAUCUUUGGACCUGUCCAACUGCUGCUGGGAACUUUCACUAUAAAAAGAGGUCUUCUGCCAAAGGAAAAAUCAUCUUGGAAGACAGCAAAACAUAGUAUUGUGAAGCAAUCAAGUAUUAUAGAGAUCAAGGCAUUUGGAGAGCUGAAGAGAUUCAUGAGCGGGAGCGAUUGAAGAUCAAAGUCAUCCAAUUACUUGUAAUGUGUAAUUUUUAUCUUGACUUGUUUUAAACAAUAUGAGUAGCUAAAUCCCCCAAUGCUAGGGGGUGUCCCUGAUUAUAAUUGUAAUGAAUUUGAGUUUACAUUUGCAUUUAUAAUAUUUUGUUUACGGUAACCUUUUGAUGUGUUUAUUUCUUUCUCUUUCGGACCAAUUGAGAUUGAUUUAUGGUUAUCACUUAGGCUGGACCGCCAGUGAUAAGGUUUUCAUCAGGUUACUCUGCAGUAGAUAUCACCUGGACAGGAUACCCUGUAUGAACCAGAGCAUUCUUGAUAUUAUACAGCUUAACUUCACCCUAAUUGGCUAUGGACAUAGGAAUUAGGGUAGAUUCAUUAAAUGUUUUUCACCAAGGACUUGGGAGAAAAUACCCUUGAGAACUGGUAGUAAUUGAUAUUUGUUGAUGCAAUAGUAACUCAGAGUUGUUACAGGGGUAAAUCAUACACCUUCCCUGUCAUUGUUCCUUUUUCUCUAUAAACCCUUAUUUCUUUACCUUUAUUUUUAUUAUUUUCACACUAAAAAACAAAAUUAAUAUUUUUUGGUUUAAUUGAAUGAUAAUUUAAACUCAAUACUAACGUGCAGUCCUUGAGAUCGACAUUCGGGGAAUUUCCCCAUUAUUACUAUAAAAGGCAAAAUAGUACACUUGCUAUUUUCCCGAUCAAUUCAUUCCCAAGCUUUUGAGAGCCAAAGAACCCAUGUUUCACUCUGAAAUGUUUCUAGAAAAUUGAGCUAUCGUGUUUUAAUUUUCAGCUUGUUUCAAUCCAAUUUUCUGAUUCUAUUAGCACUUCGACCUUCUCUGAAGCUUUUGUAACAAUUCCCAAGCUCUAAGACCUUUUGAAGUUCCCUGACCAGAUCGAGCUUCAUCAACUUCUGAUCACCAUUUGGACAAGGUAGUUUUGAGCAUAAUUUGAACUCAAACAAGUUACCAGAAUGUAGUCAUUCUCUUUCUGAUGCUUUCCCCUAACUUAUCUAGUGUUGAUUGAUUGUGUUCAUCAUUUAAUUUAAUUUUUCGUGGCUUGCUUGUUUCUGAAACUUCUAUGAUAUUCUCCAUGCUCAGUUUAGAUAAAUGAAUUUUGAGUAUGAGGUUGAAUUCGUGAUGAGGAGGUGUCACAUUGAUGGUAGUCUCAUGCUAUAAAUUUGCAAAAUGAUGAAACUCUGAUGAGGGAUCAUUGAAGAAGAUGAUCGGAGUUAUCUCAAGUCAUCUGAGUUUGCUUACACAUUUGCACUUUUAAAUGUUCUGAUUGGUCCAUUUUGAAUUCAACCCCGUGUUUCAUUUUGGCUAAUUUCGAUUGUGCGUCCUAGCCUCAAGAUUGUUAGAUCUGCCACGUCAAUUAAUGAGGCCAGAUCCAACGCUCUGUAUUUUUUUAUGAUUUUAUUUAUUUUUCUUUUUUCAUUUUAAAUUGCACUUUCUUUAAAAAGUUAUAGUAAACUCAUUUUUCAUCCAAAAACUCCCUUAAUAAUUUCUAAAAUUCUCUUUUAUUUUUAUUCAUCUGAUUUUUAUUUUUUCACAUUUUAUUUUCUUGAUUUUAUAUUUUUCUUGAAUUUCCUCUUUUUUCCUUUGUUUUAAUUGGUUUAAAAAUACUUUUAGGCAUUUAAAAUUUCUGAAAAAAUUAUUUUAUGUUUCUUAUUUUAUUUCCAAGCUUCUAUAAUAUUCUUGGCCAUUUAUUUGUUAUUUUGAAUGACUUUAUGAAUUUUCUCUUUUAUUUCCCUUUUAAAAAUCAUUUUAAAAAUCAUUUUAAAAAUAUUUUUAAUGCAUUUUAUUUUAUUUUCUUGUAUUUUAUACUUGUUUCACCUUUGUUGACUUCUGUUGGCCUUGGAUCUUAGAUAUUUUAAUCAUAGGUCUCACCAAACUCAAUGAAUCUCUGGUGUUAAUGGGGUGAAAAUCCCAAUCCACCAAAAUGGAUGAUUGAUUUUGAUGAUGACUUGAUCAAGCCUUUGAUCCAAUUUGGAUUUGGUUUCUCUUGUCUUCUUCUUCUUCAUCUCUUUAUCUUUCCUUUUUCUUUUGAGCAAUUGGAUGGUUUGUGUCCAUCUUGUUCAUGAUAUGUGGAUUAGUGUUUGAUGAACUUUCAUCAUUUUAAAUCUACCUCUUAAUUGAUCAUGGAUCAUUUAAGGUACUUUAGAUUGAUGCAUAAGUUUGUCCUAAGUAUCAUGAAAAAUUGAUUGAUGUAAUCGACCACUCUCCUAGCCUUUGUGCUUUAUCUACCUUUUUUUUGUGUCAUAGAUUAAGGAGAAUGAUUUACAUAUCAUUUUUCUAGCAUGCAUUAACACAAAUAUUAUUAUUGACCGACCUCAGAUAGUUGUGACUUCUACAUAAGUUCAAUUAUAUUUGCUUAAUAUAACGCAAAAUGUUUCCCGAAUUUGAAAGCAAGUCAUUUUCAUAAGUGAGAUUGUAAGUCUCCUACUUCUCAUAGUAUUGUGUGAAAAAUAUUUUUUCCUUUUCACCUAAGAGAGCUAGUGGCAUACUUGUUGAUUUUAUCCAAAUUGGAGCCCUUAUCAUGGUGAUAUAGAGAUCCAUAUUUUCAUGCUUGUGGGUGAAUAGUUGAGUGUUCUCCCAAAAAUGAUAAAUUGUCUUUCCCUUUUUUUUAUUACUAACACCGCUUACUUACAUUUUGUUGUAUUAAUUUUACUUUAAUGUCAUUUAUCUUAUGCUUUUAUUUUCUUACUAUUUACUUUAUGCUUUUAUUCUAGCAUCUCAUAUCAUUUGUUUGUGCUCAUGUUAUUUGUUAUUUGUCCACUUGGACCUUUGUUUAUGUUUAUGCUCUUUUUCCUUUGUCCAUUUGGACCUCUUUUUCUUUUAAAGACAUUAAUAAAGGAAAAAUCUCUCUAAAAAUUUGGUUCUCUUGAUUCAUGGACUUGAGGUUACUAUCCUUAGCAUUGUUGUGGAGUUAUGGACUUAGAAGUAGGAUCUUGACCUUUGCUUUGGGAGUUUAUGAUUUGAGGCCUUAGGAUUCAUCUGGUACCUUUGACUUUGGGAUUUUUUUGAAGACUUGGCUUGAUUAUUUUGGUUUCAUCUGACACAUGGAUUAUUCUUUACUUAUUUGGCUUAUUUGAGGCUUAAUCCAAAUGAGGGAAUUCUUGCUUGACUCAGGUCAUAAAGCUUCCUAUCUCUUGGUUAGAUAUUUCAUCCCUAGAUUUUAAUUUAUGUUCUAGGAUAGUAUCUCCAUCUUCUCCCCUUCUUUAAUUUUAAAAAAUCUUCUCUUUUCUUUUCAAAAACCUUCUUGUUGCCAAACUUGAACCACUUUCUCAAUAAAACUUGACUUUUGUCAAGUGAUUUUCAAAAUCUUUUCUUAAUAAAGGCUAACACAUCUUAAUCAUAUUUAAACAAAUUUAAAAAGACUAAAAAAUACACAAUUCAUUCAAACUACUUUAUGCCCUUUGUGCACUUUUUCUUUUAAAACUUUUCUCAAAGUUGAGACAUGGGUCAUUUUCAUAAUUGAUAUGUUAUUCUCUUAUCCCCAUGGUAUUGAUGAUAAUUAUUUUCCACCCAAGAGAGUUAGUGGCAUACUUAUUUAUCUUUAUCCAAGUUGGAGUCAUUCUUUGUGAUGAUGCAAAGUUCUCAUACUUGUGGGUGACUAGUUUAGUAUUCUCCUUAAAAUGACAAAAUGUCUUUUCAUUAAGAAUGAAUCAAAACAAACACCUUUUUUAUAUUUACCACGAACUACGAGGUUUUGAUCCCCAAUUUCACUUUGUUGGUACGUAGGCAUGAGACUCGAGAAGUCUUGGCAAACACAAAAAUUAUAAAAAAACAUAUCUCUUCUCACCUUCCUAAUCUUUUGCAAACAACACCAUUUUAAAAACCAAAAUGCACAUAUUUUCAAAGAGGUUCCUAUAGAGUACUAUAGAUGUUUAUGGUGCUAAUAUAUUCCCUUUGCAUAACUAACUCCCGGACCCUUAUCUCUUUUUAUUAGUUUUGUUUUAAAACUUCUUUGGGUUUUGUUCGUUCUUUUUCCUUUCCUUUGAAAAUAAUAAAAGUGUGAUGGAGACUCUUUCUUUGUGAGUUGAGUUAGUCAAUAGCUUAAUCUCAUAAAUUUUUACUGCUGCAGUAAAGUGGCGACUUUGCUGGGGAUUAGUCCCUAGUGGGUUUAGCCCAUCCUUAUUUAUCUGUGUAUGUUAUGUUUGUUGUUGUUUGUUAUUGUUUGUUUUGUCUGGUGCUUGGUGAUCUAUGUGUGGUGAGAUAAGUCCUAUACCCGGGCUUGAGUGCUCUUAUGAUAGGAGGGUGGUAUAAUCUUAUUUGGCUUACGUGGAGUUAAUCCUUAAUGAGCUGACUUGAGAUCCCCCGCUCAGUGGAGGCCCCUCUGGGAUUACUGAUGUCUUACGAGUAGUCAUAAUUGGUAUUACUUUUUCCGACCUGGGAGCCCGAGAAGCUGAGGACCUUAGAACCCUUAACUCAUCUUGGCCUUUUAGGAUGUAGUGUGGUGGCUAUUCAGGUGUAGACUUGAAUUAGUUGUUACACGAUACUACACUCAGACGAGUUUCUCUUGAGACUAUUAUUGGUUGGCGAGUAGUCGUUUAAGUCGGUAAUAUCCAAAAAUGGAAUUAUGACUCUAGAAACUUUUUAGAACCUUAUUCUACAGGUGAUUAUACCCUUAGUACAUACCUUGUGGGUUGGUUGUUACCUUUGGAUCUAUGCUCAUGACUCCGAACCUUUGGACCUUAUUUGUGUGCCUUGUGUGAUCUUGUUUGUGGUUAUUGCAUCAUGCAUUCAUUGCAUUCAUGAGCAUUUUUCUCAAUUUUCAAGGAACUUAGAGAUUCUCUUUGCAAACAUCGUAGAUAUUUUGACCAUGGAUAUUGGAAGAAGGAAUACUCGGAAAUACAGUUUCAAAUGUUCUGAUCUUAAGGAAUUGAGAAAUCUAGCAUCUUUUGUGGAUGAUCUUAAGGAUUUCAGAGACCGUUUUGGAAUACUUUUGUUUCUUCUAUCUACUGAUGUUGAAGAUGGUCUUCUUUGUACUCUGGUUCAGUUCUAGUAUCCUGUCUACCAGUGCUUCACUUUCCCUGAUUAUCAAUUAUUGCCUACCAUGGAGGAGUAUGCUUAUCUCUUGGGUAUAUCAGUCUCUGAUAAGGUUCCUUUUUGGUUUGGAAGGGACUCUGGAGUCUCAAGUUAUUGUUGGAUCUAUUCAUUUGAAUAAAUCUGACAUAGAUGUUAAUCUCACUUUCAAAGGAGGUAUCAGAGGGUUGACUUCAAAUUUUUCUGAUUGAGAGAGCUUCUUCUUUUGCUAAUGUUGGUAGCAUGGUGGACUUUGAAACUAUUCUUGCCUUACUCAUCUAUGGUUUAGUCUUGUUUCCCAACAUUGACAAUUUUGUUGAUGUUAAUGCUAUUAAGAUCUUUUUGGUCGGAAAUCCUGUUCCAAUUUUGCUUGGUGAAACCUAUUUCUCCAUUCAUCAUAGGACUUCUAAAGGAAAUGGAACUAUUGUCUAUUGUGCACCUUUGUUGUACAAGUGGUUUAUUUUACACUUGCCACAAUCUCCUAUCUUCAAAGAAAAUAACAGUUGUUUAAGGUGGUCUCAAAGACUAAUGUCUCUUACCAAUGAUGACGUCACUUGGUAUUCUUCUAUUUACGAUAAUGUCGAGAUUAUUGAUAGUUGUGGGGAGUUCUCCAAUGUGCCUCUUCUUGGAACACAAUGAGGAAUAACCUACAAUCCGGUUUUGGCAAGACGCCAACUUGGGUUCGCUAUGAAGGACAAACCUAAUAACACUUUGUUAGAAGGUUUAUUUUUCCAAGAAUGGAAAAACACUCAAGGAUUGAAGGCUAGGAUGGUGCAUGCUUGGCACAAUACUCAUAUGAAAGGAAAAGUGAGUUUGGAUUGAAGAAUUGUGUAACUUUGGAGCCUCACACUAGUUGGGUAAAGAGGAGAGCAAAAUAAUUCAAGAUGCCUUACGUUAUGAGAGAUCUAUGUCUAUAGUAGUGGUCGAAUCACCCAUUAUUCAUAUUAAAGGCAUAGAGGAGUUGCAAGAAGCUUUAGAUAGGAUGGAGCAAGAGAAGGAUGCUUGGAAAGACAAGUUUCACGCUUCAAACCUCGAGAAGAUAUAAUUGUAUAAGCAUUUAAAGGAAAAGGAUGACUUGAUAGAGUUGCUUGAGCAACGUGUUAUGAAGAGGUCAAGGAACCAAGAGGAUUUAUUUUUCUCUAUCAUUUCAUCAUCUACUCAUCUUCCUACUUCAAGUGUUUGGAAAGGCAUUAUAGAUCAUCUCGUGAUGGAGAAAGAUGCCAUGAAAAACAACUAUGAAAUAGAUAUCAAAAGACUUUGCAAGAAGUAUCAAUUUGAAUUGGGUUGUCAUCAGAUAUGAUUCCAUAGAUCUAAUUUCUUUCCUCUUACGUUUUAAGAUUAUUGAGAUUGUAUUUCAGAUUGUAACUCUUCCCAUUAUUAAUAAAAUGAUAUUUUCAGUAUUUCAAAAUGUGUUAUUUCCUUUAUGAUGUUUGCAAUUUGCUUUAUAUCUUAAAGUUCCUUGAAAACUUUGCAUUUUCAUUUGCAUAUCAAGCAUCAUGUUGCAUAUUGGUCUUGCUUUAUGUGAGUUUGCCAGAUGUCUUAUUUCUUCCUUUUCUUCGUCUUCAUUUAGACAAGUUGUCUCAGCGGUACAACACUCACGCUAAUCAACAAAAGAAUAUGGACCGUUUAGAAUAAGAGAAUCACGAACUCUGUGAGGAAGUGAAUACUUUGAGGGAAAGUUUGGAAAGGCUUUUCGCUAUGAUGGAAGCUUUGGAAGCUGCUCAGAAUCAGCCUCUUCCUCUUCCUCCUCCUCCUCAGACUCCGCUUCAGAGGAAUGUGAUUUCUGAAAUCACCUAUGCGCCCAUUUAUGUGGCUCCGGUCAGUGAUCCACAACACCAAAUGCCUCCUGGUUUCCCUUGGGGUAUGCCUCAUAACUUUGUUCCAGAAGGAUAUCAACCAGCUAUUGAAGUUCCUGUUGCUCAACCUGUUAUGUAUGCACCACCUCUUAUGGUCCAUGUUGCUCCUUAUAUGGAAAAACCUGUUUUCUAUGCUGAUCAGAUUGAAAGUGUUGGUAUCUAUGAAAGGAUGGAUGAAUUUCAAGAUUGGUUUCAAGCAAUGCAGAAAGAGAUUCAAGCUCUGAGGGGAAAAUAAUUAUUUGGAAAGAAUGCUUAUGAUCUUUGCUUAGUUCUGAAUGUGAAGAUCCCUCACAAGUUCAAAGUUCCAGAUUUCGAGAAAUAUAAGGGUAACUUUUCUCCUUUGAAGCAUUCGGUGAUGUAUGCUCGCAAGAUAUCAACUCAAACUAAUAACCAUCAACUAUUGAUUCAUUACUUUCAAGAUAGUUUGAUUGGUGCUGCUUUGAAGUGAUACAUGGGACUUGAUAACAUCCAGAUCCGUACCUUCAAUGAUCUAGGUGAAGCUUUUGUUCUUCAAUACAAGUAUAAUGUUAACAUCGCGACGGACCGAGAUCAACUCAGUGUUAUGUACCAAAAGGAUAAGGAGACUUUCAAAGAGUGCGUGUAGAGAAGACGUGAGAUUGAUGUAUAAGUUAGUCCUCCGUUUGAAGAGAAAGAGAUGACAAAGAUAUUUUUAAAGACUUUGAGUCUGUUUUACUAUGACAUAAUGGUUGCAAGUGCUCCCAGUGAUUUUACCGAUAUGGUAAACAUGGGGAUGAGACUAUAAGAGGGUGUCCAUAAGGGAAGAUUGAAAGAGAGUGGUUCGUCUGACAGUUCCAGGAAGUAUUAGAAUGGUUUAUCCAAAAAGAAGGAAUAUGAUGCUAAUGAUAUUUCACAAGAUAAGCAUAGGAGAUCUCCGAAAAGCAAUCAACGUCAUCAGCAUGUGGCGUCAGUUACCCCGGUUACUAAUCCUGCUCUAGUUGUUCAAGUAGCACCAAAUUAUCAACCAUAUUUUCAACAACGUACUCAUCAACAGAAUCAACAGAACCGUGUCCCAAGACAAGCGUAAUUUGAUCCAAUUCUGAUGUCCUAUGCGUAAUUGUUUCCUGCUUUGAUACAAAAGAAUUUGGUAUAAAUUAGAACUCCGUCGGCUAUUCCAAAGGAACUUCUGUGGUGGUAUAAAUCUGAUCAUCAUUAUGCUUUCCAUCAAGGUGCACCUGGUCACGACAUCAAAAACUGUUUUUCUUUGAAAGUUGAAGUGAGAAAACUAAUGCAAAGCGGUAUUUUGUAUUUUGAAGACUCUGGUCCUAAUGUGCAAGCCAAUCAAUUGCCUAAACAUGGUGGUGCAACUGUGAAUAUGGUUGAGGGAUAUCCUAUAAAGUAACAUGUCUUUGAUGUCAAUCUGAUUAGAAGAUCCUUGGUCAAGAUGCAUGUAACUUUGUGCAAGCUGAGUCAUUAUAAGCCCAAUCAUGUUUCUUGUCGUAUCUGUUCAAGAACCCCUCGAGGGUGUGUUGUGGUGAAGAGAUAUUUACAAGAGAUGUUGGAUGAAAAUCUUAUUAAGAUUAACAGAGAUAGGGAUGAAGACGAGCAUGGUAUGAAUGUCAUAGUUCCCCAUUUCAAUAUCCCCGAACCAAUUGUGAUUCCCUAUAAUAGUCAAAAGUAUGUCAUUUCUCCUUUGGUUAUUCGUAUAGUGGGUCCUACACCCUAUGAAUCUGACAGAGUUAUUCCUUACAAAUAUAAUGUUACAAUGUUGGAAGAUGUAAAGGAAGUUCACAUCCCUUCACUUUCUUUUGUUGUGAAUAUUACUGAUGUGAGUGGUGUAACCCGAAGUGGUUGAGUAUUUGCUUAUGUGGUUCCUAAAAGAAUUGAAGAUACUUAGGUGAGUAAGAAAGCUCUGGUGGAAACUCCAGUUGUGCAUUCUGGCCAGUCCAGUGGUAUAAACUAGAAAUCUAAUCAUGAUGAAGUACCAAAGUUGAUUAAGAGAAAUGAAUUUAAUGUGGCCAAUCAAUUAUUGCAUACCCCGUUCAAAAUAUUUGUCUUAUCUUUGCUGAUGAAUUUAGAAGCUCACUGACAGGCUUUGCAGAAGCUCUUGGAGCAAGCUUAUGUGGACCAUGAUGUAACAAUUGGUCUGUUUGAUGGCAUUAUGGCCAACAUUACUGCGUAUAACAACCUGAGCUUUAGUGAUGAAGAAUUGCCUCUUAUCAACGUGUUGUGAUGAGGUUUAGUGAGGUUGUUGCGAUGAAUUAUCAAGAAGAUGCUUUGUCCAAUGUGUUGGUUGACAUUGGCUCUUCUUUGAAUGUUAUGUCAAAGUCGACUUUGUACAAGCUCUCUUAUCAACGUGUUGUGAUGAGGUUUAGUGAGGUUGUUGCGAAAGCCUUUGACAGCUCGAGAAAGACUGUGAUUUAAGAAGUUGAUCUCCCGUUGAAGAUAUGUCUAUGCUUAUUUAAAAUUAUGUUUUAAGUUACGGACAUCCAUCACGUCUAUGGUUGUCUCCUAGGUUGUCUAUGGAUUCACAAAGUUGGGGCAGUAACGUCAACUCUCCAUCAAAAGUUGAAGUUUGUGAAUAACGGAAAGUUAGUAAUUGUGGGUGGCGAACAUGUCAUAUUGGUAAGUCAUCUUUCUUCAUUCUCGUAUAUUGAUGUUGACGAAGCUGUGGGAACUUCGUUCCAAGUUUUUCUGUUGUUGAUAAUGUUGCUAAGAAGAAUGGGGAAUCCAUGACUUCUUUGAAAGACGCCUAACAAGUUGUGGAGAAUGGUUAAUCUUUUGGAUGGGAUCAAGUUGUUAAACUUGCCGAGAACAAAAAUAGAGUUGGUUUACGUUUCUUGCCUGGUUCAACCUGUAGAGAUUUUAAGCGUAUCCAAGACGUUUUUCACAGUGCUGGCUUUAUCCAUUCCAAAGAUCAAUCUGCUGUUGCGAUCCUGGAAGAUGAUCAAGAACAAGAAGCACCAAACUUUGUGACGCACGGAUUGAUGUGCCAAAAUUGAACUGUUGUUGACGUUCCUUCUAUUGUUCACUUGUCAAACUAAUAUGUUUUUGUUAUUUUCAAAAAUAUUUUCACUAUGCCCAAGGUGAAAGUGAAUUUAUGUGAGCUUUAUUUCAGACUUUAUCAUCAUUAAUAAAAUAUCAUUUUAUUUAUCCAUAUUAUGUUUUCUCUUUUUGCUUUUUCUGAAAAAUGGUAACAUAAAAAACCAAGAUAAUAAUCACUUUUUACAUUUGCAUCUUAAUUGUGUGUGUAUUUGUUCAUAUUCUAAAAUCAAGCAUAAAAUCAUUAUGCAUAUUGAUUGUUAAACCUAUUGAAAACAAUGAUUAUAUGCCCUCUCCCAACUCUAGAUUCCCUGUGUUUGAAACGGAAGAAGAGGAUGUUGAAGAGAUUCCUGAUGAGAUUUCCCAUUUGCUUGAGCACGAGGAAAAGACCAUUCAGCCUCAUAAAAAGCCAUUGGAAGUGAUUAAUUUGGGUUCUGAAGAGAACAAGAAAUAAGUCAAGAUUGGGGCACUGCUUUGUCCAAAUGUUAAGAAGAGGAUGGUAGAGAUUCUUAGAGAAUAUGUGGAUGUGUUUGCUUGGUCCUAUCAAGAUAUGUCAGGUCUUGAUACUGAUAUUGUGGAGCAUAGAUUACCAUUGAAGCCAGAGUGUCCGCUAGUUAAACAGAAGUUGAGAAGAACUCAUCCUGAUAUUGCUGUUAAGAUCAAAAGGAGGUUCAAAAGCAGUUUGAUGUUGGUUUUCUUGUUACUUCUGAGUAUCCUCAAUGGGUGGCCAACAUUAUGCUUGUUCCAAAGAAGGAUGGAAAAGUUCGGAUGUUUGUUGAUUAUAGAGAUUUGAAUAAAGCUAACCCAAAGGAUGAUUUUCCUCUGCCACACAUUGACAUGUUGGUAGAUAAUACAGCUAAGUUCAAUGUUUUCUCCUUUAUGAAUGGUUUCUCCGGUUAUAAUAAGAUCAAGAUGGCACCUGAGUACAUGGAAAAGACAACAUCUAUUACACCCUGGGGAACAUUCUACUAUAGAGUGUUGUCUUUCAAUCUAAAGAAUGCUAGUGCAAUGUACCAGAGAGCUAUGACUACUAUUUUCCAUGACAUGAUGCACAAAGAGAUAGAGGUAUAUGUCGAUGAUAUGAUUGUUAAGUUGAAGACUGAAGAAGAUCAUGUUGAGUAUUUAUUGAAGUUGUUUCAGCGUUUGAGAAAGUUUAAACUCCACUUGAAUCCUAAUAAGUGUACUCUUGGUGCCCGUUCAGGAAAGUUGUUGGGCUUCAUUGUCAGCCAGAAGGGUAUUGAGGUAGAUCAUGAUAAAGUUGGAGUUAUUCAAGAGAUUCCUACACCAAAGACAAAAAGUAAGUCAGAGGAUUCCUCUGGUGUCUGAAUUAUAUCUCUAGGUUUAUAUCUCACAUGACUGCCACAUGUGGGACAAUCUUCAAGCUUCUCCGUAAAGAUCAAGGUUGUGUUUGGACAGAAGACUUCCAAAAAGCUUUUGACAACAUCAAGGAGUGUCUACUUGAACCUCUUAUAUUGUCUCCUUCAGUGGAAGGAAAAACAUUAAUCAUGUAUUUAAUUGUGUUAGAAGAGUCCAUGGGUUGUGUACUUGGACAACAAGAUGAAUCUGGUAAAAAGAAGCAUGCCAAACGUCUACACCAGUAUAUGAUUAAUCAUACAACUUGGUUGAUAUCCAAAAUGGAUCCAAUCAAGUAAAUUUUUGAAAAGCCUGUUUUGACUGGGAAGAUUGCUCGCUGGCAAAUGCUAUUGUCUGAAUAUGAUAUUGAGUACCGUACUCAUAAGGUGAUAAAGGGAGUAUUCUUGUAGACCAUUUGGCUCAUUAGUCAAUUGAUGAUUAUCAACCCAUCAGGUUUGACUUCUCUGAUGAAGAUGUUAUAUACUUAAAAACUAAAGAUUGUGAUGAACCAUUGCCUAGAGAAGGACCUGAGCCUGGAUCCUGGUGGGGUUUAGUGUAUGAUGGAAGCUGUUAAUGCUUAUGGUAAUGGAAUUGUGGAAAUCAUCAUUACUCCUCAUGGUUUUCAUACCCCUUUCACUACAAGAUUAAUUGUUGAUUGCACGAAUAACAUGGCAGAAUAUGAAGCUUGUAUCAUGGGUCUUGAAGAAGCCAUUGAUUUAAGAGUUAAUAUUCUUGAUAUAUAUGGAGAUUUGGUGGUUAAUUAGAUUAAAGGAGAAUGGGAUACUCGUCAUCCUGGCUUUAUUCCUUACAAAGAUUAUGCAAGGAGGUUGUUGACUUUCUUCAACAAAGUUGAGUUUCAUUAUAUACCUCGUGAAGAGAAUCAGAUGGAGGAUGCUUUAGCUACUUUGUCUUCUCUGUAUAAAAUAAAUUGUUGGAAUGAUGCGUCUUAGAUCAGAAUUAUGCGCCUUGAUAGGCCCUCUCAUGUGUUUGCAGUAGAACAAGUCACUGAUGAUAAGCCUUGGUAUCAUGAUAUCAAGUGUUUCCAAAGUCAGGAGUACCCGCUUGGGGCAUCCAACAAAGAUAAAAAGACUUUGAGAAGACUGGCUGGAAAUUUCUUUCUGAAUGAAGAUGUGUUGUACAAGAAACUUUGACAUGGUCUUACUCAGAUGCGUGGAUAGACACGAAGCAACCAUGUUAAUGCAAGAAGUUCAUGAAGGAUCCUUUGGUACUCAUGUCAAUGGACAUGAAAUGGCUAAAACGAUGUUAAUGGCAGGUUACUAUUGGCUGACAAUGGAAUCUGAUUGCUAUAAAUAUGUGAAGAAGUGCCAUAAAUAUCAGAUUUAUGCUGAUAAGAUUCAUGUGCCUCUGACUCUUCUCAAUGUUAUUUCAUCCUCGUGGCCUUUCUCUAUGUGGGGAAUUGACAUGAUUGGUAUGGUUGAACCCAAAACUUCGAAUGGACAUCGUUUCAUUUUGGUGGCUAUUGAUUACUUUACCAAAUAGGUUGAAGCAACAUCUUACGCUAAUGUGACAAAUCAGGUUAUAGUCAGAUUUAUCAAGGAUCAAAUUAUUCACUGAUAUGGUGUUCCAAGUAAGACCAUCACUGAUAAUGGGUCGAACUUGAAUAAUAAGAUGAUGAAAGAGCUUUGUGACGACUUCAAGAUUGAACAUCAUAACUCUUCUCCUUACAGACCUAAGAUGAAUGAGGCUAUUAAAGCUGCAAAUAAGAAUAUUAAGAAGAUUAUCCAGAAAAUGCUUGUGACAUAUAAGGAUUGGCAUGAGAUGCUCCUUUUUGCUUUGCAUGGGUAUCGUGCAUUCGUCCAUACUUCAAUAGGGGAAACCCUUUCUCUCUUGUGUAUGGAAUGGAAGUAGUGCUCCCCGUAUAGGUUGAGAUCCCAUUAAUGCGAGUCUUGAUGGAAGCCAAACUGUCUAAAGCUGAAUGGUGUCAAAGUAGAUAUGAUCAAUUGAAUUUGAUUAAAGAGAAGAGGAUGAUAACUUUGUGUCAUGGCAAAUUAUAUUAAAAGAGAAUGAAAAAAACAUUCGACCAGACGGUCCGACCUCGCGUAUUCAGAGAAAGCGACCUCGUGCUCAAGAAGAUCUUGUCUUUUAACACUGAUUAUAGGGACAAGUGGACUCCUAAUUAUGAAGGCUCGUAUGUUGUUAAGAGAGCCUUCUCUGGAGGUGAAAUGAAGCUUACGACUAUGGAUGGUGAGGAGCUCCCUCGUCCUAUGAAUGUCGAUACUGUCAAGAAAUACUUCGCCUAGAAAAAAAUAAAAGAACAAAUUGCUAAGUUGAAAACCCGAAAGGGCGGCUUAGGAAAAAAUGAAUGUCUCAGUGGAUUGAAAACCCGAAAGGGAGGUCCAGGAAAAAAUUAGAAACAUAAAUAGAAAAUAAUUAUCCCGGUAGAUUGAACCCAAAAGGGAAAUCUAGGCAAAAGUUAAGGAUUAUGGCGAGUAACUGCAUCAGGCCAGACUUGAUCAUUUGAAGCAAUAGUGCCUAUCAAAGAUUCUCCUUCAGUCAUCCUCGACUGAAGUUUUUAGCAUAGUGAAAUUCAAAGUUGUUAAGGAGAAUAUUUGUCAUUAUAUUUCAAUGUAUCCUUUUCCAUGCACUUACCAUUUUUCAACUUUGUAAUGAUCCAUGGAGUCACACCAUUUGCGGACAACCAUUCUAUUAAUAAAAUUUGAGCCUUUUGCCCAUCUGUUUACUGUUAUUAUCUUGUUUUAGUUUACGAAAUUUCAUUUAUUUUUUAUAAUAAUUUUUGAAACAAAAGAUAUAUAAACAAUCUUGUUUUUGAAAUUUACAAAAAAUAUUUUCCUCGAUUUGUGAAUAUAAAAGAGGAAUGUCAAUAAUGAUCUAAAGGAUAGUAAGAUUUUGAAGAGCGGAGUUCGGUGUUCUCUUAAGAUAGGAUUUUCCUUAUGAAUGUAUCCAGAUUUAUCAAUUCCCACAACAGAGAUCACGCGAAUGGUAGAAUCCCCAAUGAAUUUACCAACAGGUCUUCAUAACAGAGUUUGUUCGGAUGUUUCUUGUCCCCGUCAAACCUUUCCCUCCCUCAAAAUGGAGUUCAUGAUUUUAGAAGAUUUAACUUUGGGUCUCCAAGCAAUAUCUUUUUUCUCUCUCCAAAGGAAUUUAAGCCUUGUAGCAAGAUUUGACUCCUUUGAUGGCUUAUGAUCACUCGUUGUAGGGUUGUCUUCAGUUGAACCCCUAGUAAGAUCUCUAGUAACAUCUCCGCCUUGUUGAGAUUAGCCGAGUAUCUGGUUGUAUUGUGUUAUUGAUCUACCCCUUUUGUGCCUACUUUAUCAGCAUAUUCACCCACAUAUUCAUACACAUAUGCAUAACAUCAUGAUGUUUAUUUGUGCACCUUGCAUUUCUUGGUGCAUUCCCCACUCUCUGGUGUUUUUUCUCCCUGUAGAGUGUGUGUGUCUUCUCUCCAAUAAAGUGUCGACCUUAAGCAGAAAGCAUUUACCCUUUCUAAUUCCCCAUGGAGUUUGAUCCCCGUGAAAGGUUUUGUUUCAGUUUUCCUUUCCAAUUCAUCAUCUGGAUGGAAUUAAUACCCAGUUGAGUUUAUUUCCUUAUUGGAUUGAAUCUUCUUUGAUUGUUUCUCUCUAGUUUAUUUUGGGUUGAACUUUGGUCCCUAAAUCUUAUUACAUUUGUUAAGUUAUCACUCGGCUGAUAGCUAGGUAAUAUUUCUCUUACCUUUGGUUGGUUAUCUUGUUAAGUUAUCACUUGGUUGAUAGUUGGCAAUCUUUCCUUUUGAGUUUAUUACCUUUGUUAAGCUACCACUUGGCUGAUAGUUAGGUAAUAAUUUCUUUUUACCUUUGGUUGGUUACCUUUGUUAAGCUAUCACUUGGCUGAUAGUUGGUAAUCUUUUCUUUUGAGCUUAUUAUCUAUGUUAAGUUAUCACUUGGCUAAUAGUUAGGUAAUAUUUCUUUUUAUCUUUGGUUGGUUACCUUGGUUAAGUUAUCACUUGGCUGGUAGUUGGUAAUCUUUCCUAUGGAGCUUAUUACCUUUGUUAAUCUAUCACUUGGCUAAUAGGUAGGUAACAAUUUCUUUUUACCUUUGGUUAGUUACCUUCUUAAGCUAUCACUUGGUUGGUAGUUUGGUCAUUUCCCCCCCUAGUGGAGUUUGGCAUCCCCUUUGAUUCAUCCUUUCCCCGAUGGAGUCUUACUUUGAUAAGUCUUCCCCUGUUGGGUCUUUAGAUAAUUUGUUUCCUAACUAUGCAUUGGUUUUUUUCCAAUACAAUGGUUAUUCCCGAUUCGAGUCGUUUCCCGAUGCUUUAUUUUCCUGGAGGACAUCCCUUUGCCUCCAACAAUUUUGUGUUGUAGUUUUGUUUACGCGUCUUUUCUUUUCCCCUAUGGAACUUUGUUUGUCCCCAACUGAACUUCCGCCUUUGGAAUCUGAUAUUCCCCUACAGAAUUCCAGUCUCCUCGUUUCUCCAGCAGUUCUUGGUCUCUUGUGGCGCUAUAUUCCCCACAUAGACCCUUGUCUGCAUUCAUAUCAUAUCAUAAACAUUUUUACGGUAUCUUAGGGCCAAAUUUUUUGGGUAUUUUAUAUUUAAGUUCCUUCAAUCUUGUUGAGAUGUAGAUUUCAAUCUUCAUAUCUCCUAAUUUAAGAAACUUAAAUAGGGGAAUCUUUCAUACCCUAAUUUCUCACCCUAAGAUCCUACAUAUCAUUUGCAUCCUUACAUACAAACAUGAUCACAUAUUUGUCCUCUCCCUCUCAUCUUUGAGUUUGCCUUUUGUAGGGAUUAUCAAGCACCUCUUUGUUGGUAUUUUACCUUUGUGUUUAUAUGUU